AGAUGGCGACCGGCGCACGGGUGAGUAACACGUAUCCAACCUGCCGAUAACUCGGGGAUAGCCUUUCGAAAGAAAGAUUAAUACCCGAUGGUAUAAUCAGACCGCAUGGUCUUGUUAUUAAAGAAUUUCGGUUACCGAUGGGGAUGCGUUCCAUUAGGCAGUUGGUGAGGUAACGGCUCACCAAACCUUCGAUGGAUAGGGGUUCUGAGAGGAAGGUCCCCCACAUUGGAACUGAGACACGGUCCAA
rnacentral:rRNA from 1 species